GGCCAGGUCACUCAGUUGAUUAGCGCGUCAUCCAGACAUGCCAAGGUUGUGGGUUCGAUCCCCGGUCAAGGCGCAUGCAAGAAUCAAUCAUUGAAUGCGUAAAUAAUUGGAACAACAAAUCAAUGUAUCU